UACGUAGGCAGCGAGCGUUGUUCGGAAUUACUGGGCGUAAAGAGUGUGUAGGCGGUGCUCUAAGUUCGGUGUGAAAUCUCCUGGCUCAACUGGGAGGGUGCGCCGGAAACUGGAGUGCUUGAGCGUGGGAGAGGAAAGCGGAAUUCCUGGUGUAGCGGUGAAAUGCGUAGAUAUCAGGAGGAACACCAAUUGCGAAGGCAGCUCGCUGGGACGUUACUGACGCUGAGACGCGAAAGCGUGGGGAGCAAACCGG
rnacentral:rRNA from 1 species